rnacentral:rRNA from 1 species
UACCAGACUCCUACGGGAGGCAGCAGUGGGGAAUAUUGCACAAUGGGGGAAACCCUGAUGCAGCGACGCCGCGUGAGUGAAGAAGUAAUUCGUUAUGUAAAGCUCUAUCAGCAGGGAAGAAAAUGACGGUACCUGAGUAAGAAGCACCGGCUAACUCCGUGCCAGCAGCCGCGGUAAUACGGAGGGUGCGAGCGUUAAUCGGAAUUACUGGGCGUAAAGCGCUCGUAGGCGGUAUGUCAAGUCAAGGGUGAAAUCCCCGCGCUCAACGUGGGAACUGCCUUUGAAACUGGCAAACUGGAGUGUGUGAGAGGAUAGUGGAAUUCCAGGUGUAGGAGUGAAAUCCGUAGAUAUCUGGAGGAACAUCAGUGGCGAAGGCGGCCUGCUGGACGAUGACUGACGUUGAGGCUCGAAAGCGUGGGGAGCAAACAGGAUUAGAUACCCUUGUA